AUUCAAAAUGCUGAGGAAUAAAAAGAUGCAGUCUUUUGAAUUCUACGACUGUGUUGGAGCUCAGAAAACAAAGUAUGGCACUUUAGCUUGUGAAGUACUUUGAACUAAAAGGUAUUGGAAAACCUCAAAAGCAAAGUUUCUUUCAGACCCUUUUCUGCCCUCUUCCUUCUGCUGCUUUUUAAACCCCACACAGUCCAUAGAAACCAGAAUUUGUCUUCCCCAAGGUGGGUCAUAGAAACUAGGAGCCCUCUUUCCCAAAGCCAGCCAUAAAACCUACAAAUAUUACUCUAACCUCUUCUGACACCUUUCUGUUUAGGAGCUGACCAUGAAGAAAUUCUUCAACCUGCACACAGAGAGGCUAAGAAGAAUCUGACCAGACAAGAGUUGCUGGGUUUCCACCAUUCAGUGUGUUACAAUACAUCAUAACUUUUUGUUCAAUCACAAUUCUAUGGCUGUCCAUUCCUCCUCAUCAAACUUUUGCAUAAAAACCAUUCUCCCUGGAUUUUCAGGGAAGGCUCCUGUGUAAUGUAAAACUUUGAUUAAAUACAUCUGUUAUGCUUUUCUCUCGUUAAUCUA
rnacentral:lncRNA from 1 species